rnacentral:rRNA from 1 species
AACGCGAAGAACCUUACCUGGGCUUGAACUACAGAUGGUAAGUCGCUGGAAACAGUGGCUGACCCGCAAGGGAGUCUGCAGAGGUGCUGCAUGGUUGUCGUCAGCUCGUGUCGUGAGAUGUUGGGUUAAGUCCCGCAACGAGCGCAACCCCUAUUCGAUGUUGCUAAUCCCGCAAGGGAUGCACUCUUCGAAAACUGCCUUCGAUAAGAAGGAGGAAGGUGGGGACGACGUCAAAUCCUCAUGGCCCUUAUGUCCAGGGCCACACACGUGUUACAAUGGCCGGUACAAUGGGAAGCAAUACCGCAAGGUGGAGCCAAACCUACAAAGCCGGCCCCAGUUCAGAUUGUGGGCUGCAACUCGCCCACAUGAAGGCGGAAUCGCUAGUAAUCGCUGAUCAGCAGGCAGCGGUGAAUACGUUCCCGGGCCUUGUA